AGAAUUCCGUCGGGAUCUACCUCCUCCCAGUGAACGACGGAUAGGCCGGCACCCACCUCCUCCCGGGUGUCCGCCACACAAACGACACCCGCCGGACCUCCUCCCCCGGCGGGUGUUGUUU
rnacentral:sRNA from 1 species